CCUACGGGUGGCAGCAGUGAGGAAUAUUGGUCAAUGGACGAGAGUCUGAACCAGCCAAGUAGCGUGAAGGAUGACUGCCCUAUGGGUUGUAAACUUCUUUUAUAUGGGAAUAAAAUGUUCCACGUGUGGGAUUUUGUAUGUACCCUAUGAAUAAGGAUCGGCUAACUCCGUGCCAGCAGCCGCGGUAAUACGGAGGAUCCGAGCGUUAUCCGGAUUUAUUGGGUUUAAAGGGAGCGUAGGUGGAUUGUUAAGUCAGUUGUGAAAGUUUGCGGCUCAACCGUAAAAUUGCAGUUGAAACUGGCAGUCUUGAGUACAGUAGAGGUGGGCGGAAUUCGUGGUGUAGCGGUGAAAUGUUUAGAUAUCACGAAGAACUCCGAUUGCGAAGGCAGUUCACUGGACUGCAACUGACACUGAGGCUCGAAAGUGUGGGUAUCAAACAGGAUUAGAUACCCUAGUAGUC
rnacentral:rRNA from 1 species